rnacentral:rRNA from 1 species
AUUGAACGCUGGCGGCAGGCCUAACACAUGCAAGUCGAACGAGUGGCGGACGGGUGAGUAAUGUCUGGGAAACUGCCUGAUGGAGGGGGAUAACUACUGGAAACGAUAGCUAAUACCGCAUACCAUCAGAUGUGCCUAGGUGGGAUUCGCUAGUUGGUGGGGUAAAGGCCUAUCAAGGCGACGAUCCGAAACUGGUCUGGGAGGAUGAUCAGUCACCCUGGAACUGGGACACGGUCCAGACUCCUACGGGAGGCAGCAGUGGGGAAUAUUGGACAAUGGGCGAAAGCCUGAUCCAGCCAUGCCGCGUGUGUGAAGAAGGUCUUCGGAUUGUAAAGCACUUUAAGUUGGGAGGCGUUACCAACAGAAUAAGCACCGGCUAACUUCGUGCCAGCAGCCGCGGUAAUUC